CAGCAGCCGCCACGGUAAUACGGAGGGGGCUAGCGUUGUUCGGAAUUACUGGGCGUAAAGCGCACGUAGGCGGCUUGGUAAGUUAGAGGUGAAAGCCCAGAGCUCAACUCCGGAAUUGCCUUUAAGACUGCCGAGCUAGUAGGUGAGAGAGGUAAGUGGAAUUCCGAGUGUAGAGGUGAAAUUCGUAGAUAUUCGGAAGAACACCAGUGGCGAAGGCGGCUUACUGGCUCAUUCUAGACGCUGAGGUGCGAAAGCGUGGGGAGCAAACAGGAUUAGAUACCCCCGUAGUCCCUGUCUCUUAUAC
rnacentral:rRNA from 1 species